rnacentral:tRNA from 1 species
GGGAAAUUAGCUCAAUGGUAGAGCAGUCGUUUUACACACGGAUUGUUGGAUGUUCAAGUCAUUUAUUUCCCA